rnacentral:rRNA from 1 species
AGAGUUUGAUCAUGGCUCAGAUUGAACGCUGGCGGCAGGCCUAACACAUGCAAGUCGAGCGGAUGAGAGGAGCUUGCUCCUCGAUUCAGCGGCGGACGGGUGAGUAAUGCCUAGGAAUCUGCCUGGUAGUGGGGGACAACGUUUCGAAAGGAACGCUAAUACCGCAUACGUCCUACGGGAGAAAGCAGGGGACCUUCGGGCCUUGCGCUAUCAGAUGAGCCUAGGUCGGAUUAGCUAGUUGGUGAGGUAAUGGCUCACCAAGGCGACGAUCCGUAACUGGUCUGAGAGGAUGAUCAGUCACACUGGAACUGAGACACGGUCCAGACUCCUACGGGAGGCAGCAGUGGGGAAUAUUGGACAAUGGGCGAAAGCCUGAUCCAGCCAUGCCGCGUGUGUGAAGAAGGUCUUCGGAUUGUAAAGCACUUUAAGUUGGGAGGAAGGGUUGUUUCCUAAUACGAAGCAAUUUUGACGUUACCGACAGAAUAAGCACCGGCUAACUCUGUGCCAGCAGCCGCGGUAAUACAGAGGGUGCAAGCGUUAAUCGGAAUUACUGGGCGUAAAGCGCGCGUAGGUGGUUUGUUAAGUUGAAUGUGAAAUCCCCGGGCUCAACCUGGGAACUGCAUCCAAAACUGGCAAGCUAGAGUAGGGUAGAGGGUGGUGGAAUUUCCUGUAGCGGUGAAAUGCGUAGAUAUAGGAAGGAACACCAGUGGCGAAGGCGACCACCUGGACUCAUACUGACACUGAGGUGCGAAAGCGUGGGGAGCAAACAGGAUUAGAUACCCUAGUAGUCC